rnacentral:sRNA from 1 species
ACUUUAUCUUUAAUUCUGCUACAUCAAAGAGAUGCCGCAUAAAGUUAUUCUCCAAUAUACCACGAACGUCAUCAAUAAAUUAUCAGACCUUAAACACAUGCCAAACUCGAGUCGAUCAUGAGUUUUAAGUUAAAAACUGCUCUUUAUAAAAAAAAAUACAUUGAUAACAAGGGUUAGUGUUUUUUACAGCGAUGUGUAUUUCCUUUAAUGUUCAUUUCAAGGAGCUGGUUGCAGCUGUUCCAAGACCCUCCCCCAACACAUUUUCACUGCUUGUUUCCGAUAUGCAUUCUGAAGCAGCCAUUACUAACAAAACCUUUGGGGAACAGCCGUCUCUACCAAUCAGAUUCAUCUCACUUGAAAAUAUAACCUUCUUACUCUCUCUAUAGAUAAACCGAUCGACUAAUAAUGGGAUCUGUUAGUAGAAUAGAAAUAAAGUUCUUGUUAUCGUGUUCGCCUCGGCUUUUAUAUUUCUAAACAACAUUUCUCUACAUCGGAGAUUAUUCUGCAACAUUCUUUAUUUUUUAAAUGUCUGGUAUUUUUUCCUUCCAGUUUUGGGAUAUUUUAAUAAUAUCACAUUUAAUAUUGUUUGAAGUAUGAAGGUGUUACACAAACGUAACAAAUGUAUUGUUAUACUUCUCUGACUCUGAAAAGAGGAACAGAAUUUCUUAUUGUUGCCAUGGCGAAAGGGUUUCUACUUUAUUCACUUAUCUUCUUCCUCAGUGCAAACUCAGCAAAAUGGAGCAUCCAUUUAUUUUAAUUUUUAAAGAACGAAGACUUUAUAUCCCUUGCCAGAAUCAAUGAAAUUUAUAAAGAUUAACUUAUUGUUUUUGUUUUUUUAUUGUGUGUAACCUAGAACAAUAAUGUCAAAAUAUAGUAAAUGAAAUAUGACUAUAUGUGUCUCAAACUAGAGAAAUGAAUUCCUCAAAUGAUGGUUAUAUAUAAUAUAUACAUAUGCAUUCAAAUUAUCUCAAUGGAUAUGAUUUAAAUCAUGAAAUAACUUUAAAUAAUCUCCUUUAUUGAAACAUACUGUGUACAUUACAGUUGCUUUACAAUAUAUUUUUGUGAUAGUUUAAUUGAUGUGUUGAAAUUACUCAAAUGUUAUGCUGUAAUAUAUGUAUAAAUCAUAAAUAAAGAGAAUGAGAUU